rnacentral:rRNA from 1 species
UACGUAGGGGGCAAGCGUUGUCCGGAAUCAUUGGGCGUAAAGAGCGUGUAGGCGGCUCGGUAAGUCCGCUGUGAAAGUCCAGGGCUCAACCCUGGAAUGCCGGUGGAAACUGUCGAGCUAGAGUCCGGAAGAGGCGAGUGGAAUUCCUGGUGUAGCGGUGAAAUGCGUAGAUAUCGGGAGGAACACCUGUGGCGAAAGCGGCGCACUGGACCAUAACUGACGCUGAUGCGCGAAAGCUAGGGGAGCAAACAGG